rnacentral:piRNA from 1 species
UGGAAAACGAGGAUCCACAUGUGUAAAUAAAC